UUUGCUUCUUUUGAUGCUACAGCCGCACUUAAGACCACUGUAUCGCCAUAACGGACUAAUACUGCUCCAUUGGCUUGUUUUGCUAAUUGACCGACUUCGAUUUGUAGGGGACGGCCGCCCCAUGUCGUUUUGAAUACUUGUUUUUCUGACAUAAUUACUCCUUUUCUUUCCCGUGAAAGCAAGA
rfam:Enterococcus durans ATCC 6056 genomic scaffold acyDB-supercont2.1, whole genome shotgun sequence.